rnacentral:rRNA from 1 species
UGGGGAAUAUUGGGCAAUGGGGGAAACCCUGACCCAGCAACGCCGCGUGAGGGAAGAAGGUCUUCGGAUUGUAAACCUCUGUCCUUGGGGACGAAAAAAAUGACGGUACCCAAGGAGGAAGCCCCGGCUAACUACGUGCCAGCAGCCGCGGUAAUACGUAGGGGGCGAGCGUUGUCCGGAAUUACUGGGCGUAAAGGGAGCGUAGGCGGCCUUUUAAGUUAGAUGUGAAAUACCCGUGCUUAACAUGGGGGGUGCAUCUAAUACUGGAGGGCUUGAGUGUAGGAGAGGUAAGUGGAAUUCCUAGUGUAGCGGUGAAAUGCGUAGAUAUUAGGAGGAACACCAGUGGCGAAGGCGACUUACUGGACUAUAACUGACGCUGAGGCUCGAAAGCGUGGGGAGCAAACA